CCCAACACCCAACGUAGUGGACAUGGUGUUAGCCAGGAUAAUGAUACAGAUUUCUCAGCAUCUACUAUCAGCAAAGAAAGCCAUGAAACUCAAGAUGGUGGUCACAAUUCAGAAAUCCCUCAAACUGUUUCCAAGCAAAGUGAUGUAGCUGAAGAUUCUAAAAGCAGCGUUGUCAUCGUUUACAUGAACG